rnacentral:lncRNA from 1 species
CUUUUUGCAAUUGGACCAAGACAGACUUUUCUUGAGUUGGGGGCAAUUUUAUUUGUAAUGUCAUUUCCAAUUCCUCCAUGCAGGAGAUGAAUUAAUCUCGUACCUUAACAACAAGGGGUGAAUCUAUGGCAAAUGCUGCAGAUCCUGAUGAAAACAUGAAAUCAUAGGAGAAAAACGAAGUCCACAGGUUCAGGACACUCAGAGAGGCAAGACUAUUGGAAAGCAACGGUAUGGUUCAAGAAACAGGUGCUGAUGCUUGAAGGCAAGUAGACAUAUUGUUAACUUAAUAGAACCAACUUAAAGUGAUUUUUUUUCACUUAAGUACUAUAUCCUGAAUUAAAUAAAAUACACUUUCUAAUAAUUAGCCACAAAUUU